CUUGGUAAUCAUUGGCUGCAGAGUCUGCCUUAUUUCUGAAGUGCCUGCUGCUCAUAGCUGACUAAGGAAGCAUCCUUCUCAACUAUGACAUUCCAGGCAAAACCUUGGUUGUACUGUCAGUGUUUCCAGUUAUGUCCUGUUUUCAAGGAGGAUAUGCUCCCAUGGAAUCUAUGCAGGUUGUCACCAGAUUGGGCCUCUGGUGCCCAAGGCUGAAAUAAAGAACUUAACACCCCCUUUUAAAAUAAGUUGGCAGGUUCACUGCCUCCAAUUAUGGAAAAAGAAUCUUCAGGGCAUGCCAGUAAAAGGGACUUGAGAGGUUUAUUGGAGACAGAGAUAUAGGAUACAGUCAAGAGUGGUGUAGAGAUGCUCAAAGAAAUGAGAACAUUACCAGCUGGAGUAGAGCACAUUCAAAGGCAUCCCUUCAAGACAGCCAGUCUAGAGUGUGGAUUCUCCCUGUCUGUCACAUUACAGUGCAAGCCAUCUAUAUGUGUUUGAAGUCCAGAUAUGCUGUUUGAAGUUGAGAUAUGCUGUCUCCAACUUUGCUGCAUCCUGGGCUGGAGGCAAAGGUAAUCCUUUAUGCAACAGAGUGCUUCAUGGCUCAAGAAUAUGGAUGCUGGUAAUUCACAUAUGCCACGGAGAAGCUGUGAAAUGUUUCCUUUAAAUGAAAAGACAUCCUGCUUUCAGAUGUCUGAUCAAAGGGCACUUAAAUAUCUGAUGGUUCAAAAGGACUAACUCUGAAGAAACUCUGACCCCAGGGAUUAUUCUACUCUGCCAUCCCUUGUUGAAAUCUCCUCAUCACUGUGUUGCUCAGGACUUUCUUUCUGACUUGUCCUGGACAAAAGAUGGUGCUGACAAAGGUGUUCAAACUUUGUCCUCAAAACAACUGUAUGCUGUUUUGCCAAAACAAACAGCCCUCCACUCUACAUGAACCUCCUGGACUUGAAUUUGUUCCUUCUCAGACCUAGAGACCCACUCUACCGCCUAACCAUAUCCAAACUCCCACUUCAGCUUCUCUGAUGGUGCCAUGUUGAAUACGGUCCACUGAGUUUCAUGGAUCCCCAUACACACACUGUUAGAAGACACCCUUCCUAGGACUCUGCUUGCCUGUGAUUCUUGCCUCAGUCUCUGAGCAUCAGACACCUUCCUACUAUGAUAGUUGCCCUUAAUAACACUUUUUCUCACUUAAUUUGACUUUUUUUGCUCCUUAACAUGGCAUAAGAUAUCCUUUAGGAUUUGCUUUGGGAGAGGUGAAAUAUAAAAAGUUGUCGAGAAAUGUGAAUAUUUAAUUAAAUGGGAUACUGGAUUACCAAGGAACAAUACUUGGUUCCCUGUUUAAUCCAAAUGACAUUAAGAGAUUUUUAAGGCAGAUGAGAGAAGUAACAAGAUUAUUUUAAAAUCCAACUUUUUUAAGUGAAGACUUUGUUUUCUUUAAUAAUGAAGGACAUGUUAAAGUCAACACCAAGCAUAAGAAAUUAUUCUGAUGAGACCUUGAAUAUUUAUAGUCUGUGAAAAUUACUCAGAAAAUAAAGGAAAGUCUCUUACAAACUUGUAUUGAAAAGAUCACUAGCCAACAAAAUAUAUGAUUUUAAUAGAAAGAAACCUAAAUUGUAGUUUUACAUCAGUAUAAAAUUUAAUGUUACUGCUCUCAUUUACAAUCUUAUAAAUAAAUAACUUAUUUAAACUUAGCUGUCUACAAAAAUAAAAUACAAUGUCCUUUCCUUGAAGCUUCAACAACAUUCUGUCGUGGUUUUCCCUNNNNNNNNNNNNNNNNNNUCCCUACACCAUGUGUACUGGAACAAUUAUUCAUUUUAUGGUAGAAAAGUCACUCUCAUUUUCCUUAACAAAACACAUCCUAUGUGUUUUGCAUACAAAGUGCUCCCUUUGCCGUGAUCACUCCCAAUACAAUCACAUUCACAUUCGG
rnacentral:lncRNA from 1 species